rnacentral:tRNA from 1 species
GGAUGGGUGGCCGAGUGGUUGAAGGCACUGGUCUUGAAAACCAGCAGGGGUGCAAGCUCCUCGUGGGUUCGAAUCCCACCCCAUCCGCCA